CGCCUGUUUAUCAAAAACAUCGCCUCUUGCACCUCUGAGUAUAGGAGGUCCCGCCUGCCCUGUGAUCAUGUAUUUAACGGCCGCGGUAUUUUGACCGUGCAAAGGUAGCGCAAUCACUUGUCUUUUAAAUGAAGACCUGUAUGAACGGCAUAACGAGGGCCUAGCUGUCUCCCUGUUCUGGUCAAUGAAAUUGAUCUUCCCGUGCAGAAGCGGGAAUAAAGACAUAAGACGAGAAGACCCUGUGGAGCUUUAGACUACAGCGCAGACCAUGUCAAGAAUACCUCUCAAAGAGACUCGAACUAAUUGGAGCCUGUUUUACUGUCUUUGGUUGGGGCGACUGCGGGGUAGUGACUAACCCCCGCGUAGAAUGAAGAGACCACCUCUUUAGAGUGAAGACCCACACCUCUAAAUAACAGAACCUCUGACUAAACAUGAUCCGGUACAACCGAUCAACGAACCGAGUUACCCCAGGGAUAACAGCGCAAUCCUCUUCCAGAGCCCAUAUCGACAAGGGGGUUUACGACCUCGAUGUUGGAUCAGGACAUCCUGGUGGUGCAGCCGCUAUUAAGGGUUCGUUUGUUCAACGAUUAAAGUCCUACGUGAUCUGAGUUC
rnacentral:rRNA from 1 species